rnacentral:sRNA from 1 species
AAAUGACUACAAUGUUACAACUGGUGA